rnacentral:rRNA from 1 species
UACGGAGGGUGCAAGCGUUGUUCGGAAUUAUUGGGCGUAAAGGGCGCGUAGGCGGUUGUGAUAGUCAGAUGUGAAAUCCUCCGGCUUAACUGGAGAACUGCAUCUGAAACUUCAUAGCUAGAGUACAGGAGAGGGAAACGGAAUUCCCGGUGUAGAGGUGGAAUUCGUAGAUAUCGGGAGGAACACCAGUGGCGAAGGCGGUUUCCUAGCCUGAUACUGACGCUGAGGCGCGAAAGCGUGGGGAGCAAACAGGAUUAGAUACCCUGGUAGU